UUAAGCGACUAAGCGUACACGGUGGAUGCCCUGGCAGUCAGAGGCGAUGAAGGACGUGCUAAUCUGCGAAAAGCGUCGGUAAGGUGAUAUGAACCGUUAUAACCGGCGAUGUCCGAAUGGGGAAACCCAGUGUGAUUCGUCACACUAUCGUUAACUGAAUACAUAGGUUAACGAGGCGAACCGGGGGAACUGAAACAUCUAAGUACCCCGAGGAAAAGAAAUCAACCGAGAUUCCCCCAGUAGCGGCGAGCGAACGGGGAGCAGCCCAGAGUCUGAAUCAGCUUGUGUGUUAGUGGAACGGUCUGGAAAGUCCGACGGUACAGGGUGAUAGUCCCGUACACCAAAAUGCACAGGCUGUGAACUCGAAGAGUAGGGCGGGACACGUGGUAUCCUGUCUGAAUAUGGGGGGACCAUCCUCCAAGGCUAAAUACUCCUGACUGACCGAUAGUGAACCAGUACCGUGAGGGAAAGGCGAAAAGAACCCCGGCGAGGGGAGUGAAAAAGAACCUGAAACCGUGUACGUACAAGCAGUGGGAGCACCUUCGGGUGUGACUGCGUACCUUUUGUAUAAUGGGUCAGCGACUUAUAUUCUGUAGCAAGGUUAACCGUAUAGGGGAGCCGCAGGGAAACCGAGUCUUAACUGGGCGUUAAGUUGCAGGGUAUAGACCCGAAACCCGGUGAUCUAGCCAUGGGCAGGUUGAAGGUUGGGUAACACUAACUGGAGGACCGAACCGACUAAUGUUGAAAAAUUAGCGGAUGACUUGUGGCUGGGGGUGAAAGGCCAAUCAAACCGGGAGAUAGCUGGUUCUCCCCGAAAGCUAUUUAGGUAGCGCCUCGUGAAUUCAUCUUCGGGGGUAGAGCACUGUUUCGGCUAGGGGGUCAUCCCGACUUACCAACCCGAUGCAAACUACGAAUACCAAAGAAUGUUAUCACGGGAGACACACGGCGGGUGCUAACGUCCGUCGUGAAGAGGGAAACAACCCAGACCGCCAGCUAAGGUCCCAAAGUCAUGGUUAAGUGGGAAACGAUGUGGGAAGGCACAGACAGCCAGGAUGUUGGCUUAGAAGCAGCCAUCAUUUAAAGAAAGCGUAAUAGCUCACUGGUCGAGUCGGCCUGCGCGGAAGAUGUAACGGGGCUAAACCAUGCACCGAAGCUGCGGCAGCGACACUAUGUGUUGUUGGGUAGGGGAGCGUUCUGUAAGCCUGCGAAGGUGACCUGUGAGGGUUGCUGGAGGUAUCAGAAGUGCGAAUGCUGACAUAAGUAACGAUAAAGCGGGUGAAAAGCCCGCUCGCCGGAAGACCAAGGGUUCCUGUCCAACGUUAAUCGGGGCAGGGUGAGUCGACCCCUAAGGCGAGGCCGAAAGGCGUAGUCGAUGGGAAACAGGUUAAUAUUCCUGUACUUGGUGUUACUGCGAAGGGGGGACGGAGAAGGCUAUGUUAGCCGGGCGACGGUUGUCCCGGUUUAAGCAUGUAGGCUGGUUGUCCAGGCAAAUCCGGAUAAUCAAGGCUGAGGUGUGAUGACGAGGCACUACGGUGCUGAAGUAACAAAUGCCCUGCUUCCAGGAAAAGCCUCUAAGCAUCAGGUAACAUCAAAUCGUACCCCAAACCGACACAGGUGGUCAGGUAGAGAAUACCAAGGCGCUUGAGAGAACUCGGGUGAAGGAACUAGGCAAAAUGGUGCCGUAACUUCGGGAGAAGGCACGCUGGUGUGUAGGUGAAGUCCCUGCGGAUGGAGCUGAGACCAGUCGAAGAUACCAGCUGGCUGCAACUGUUUAUUAAAAACACAGCACUGUGCAAACACGAAAGUGGACGUAUACGGUGUGACGCCUGCCCGGUGCCGGAAGGUUAAUUGAUGGGGUUAUCCGUAAGGAGAAGCUCUUGAUCGAAGCCCCGGUAAACGGCGGCCGUAACUAUAACGGUCCUAAGGUAGCGAAAUUCCUUGUCGGGUAAGUUCCGACCUGCACGAAUGGCGUAAUGAUGGCCAGGCUGUCUCCACCCGAGACUCAGUGAAAUUGAACUCGCUGUGAAGAUGCAGUGUACCCGCGGCAAGACGGAAAGACCCCGUGAACCUUUACUAUAGCUUGACACUGAACAUUGAGCCUUGAUGUGUAGGAUAGGUGGGAGGCUUUGAAGCGUGGACGCCAGUCUGCGUGGAGCCAACCUUGAAAUACCACCCUUUAAUGUUUGAUGUUCUAACGUUGGCCCCUUACCGGGGUUGCGGACAGUGUCUGGUGGGUAGUUUGACUGGGGCGGUCUCCUCCCAAAGCGUAACGGAGGAGCACGAAGGUUAGCUAAUCCUGGUCGGACAUCAGGAGGUUAGUGCAAUGGCAUAAGCUAGCUUGACUGCGAGCGUGACGGCGCGAGCAGGUGCGAAAGCAGGUCAUAGUGAUCCGGUGGUUCUGAAUGGAAGGGCCAUCGCUCAACGGAUAAAAGGUACUCCGGGGAUAACAGGCUGAUACCGCCCAAGAGUUCAUAUCGACGGCGGUGUUUGGCACCUCGAUGUCGGCUCAUCACAUCCUGGGGCUGAAGUAGGUCCCAAGGGUAUGGCUGUUCGCCAUUUAAAGUGGUACGCGAGCUGGGUUUAGAACGUCGUGAGACAGUUCGGUCCCUAUCUGCCGUGGGCGCUGGAGAAUUGAGGGGGGCUGCUCCUAGUACGAGAGGACCGGAGUGGACGCAUCACUGGUGUUCGGGUUGUCAUGCCAAUGGCACUGCCCGGUAGCUAAAUGCGGAAGAGAUAAGUGCUGAAAGCAUCUAAGCACGAAACUUGCCCCGAGAUGAGUUCUCCCUGAGACUUUAAGUCUCCUGAAGGAACGUUGAAGACGACGACGUUGAUAGGCCGGGUGUGUAAGCGCAGCGAUGCGUUGAGCUAACCGGUACUAAUGAACCGUGAGGCUUAACCUU
rnacentral:rRNA from 1 species